AUUGAACGCUGGCGGCAGGCCUAACACAUGCAAGUCGAGCGGAUGAAGGGAGCUUGCUCCUGGAUUCAGCGGCGGACGGGUGAGUAAUGCCUAGGAAUCUGCCUGGUAGUGGGGGAUAACGUCCGGAAACGGGCGCUAAUACCGCAUACGUCCUGAGGGAGAAAGUGGGGGAUCUUCGGACCUCACGCUAUCAGAUGAGCCUAGGUCGGAUUAGCUAGUUGGUGGGGUAAAGGCCUACCAAGGCGACGAUCCGUAACUGGUCUGAGAGGAUGACCAGCCACACUGGAACUGAGACGCGGUCCAGACUCCUACGGGAGGCAGCAGUGGGGAAUAUUGGACAAUGGGCGAAAGCCUGAUCCAGCCAUGCCGCGUGUGUGAAGAAGGUCUUCGGAUUGUAAAGCACUUUAAGUUGGGAGGAAGGGCAGUAAGUUAAUACCUUGCUGUUUUGACGUUACCAACAGAAUAAGCACCGGCUAACUUCGUG
rnacentral:rRNA from 1 species